CCUACGGGUGGCAGCAGUGAGGAAUAUUGGUCAAUGGACGAGAGUCUGAACCAGCCAAGUAGCGUGAAGGAUGACUGCCCUAUGGGUUGUAAACUUCUUUUAUAUGGGAAUAAAAUGUUCCACGUGUGGGAUUUUGUAUGUACCAUAUGAAUAAGGAUCGGCUAACUCCGUGCCAGCAGCCGCGGUAAUACGGAGGAUCCGAGCGUUAUCCGGAUUUAUUGGGUUUAAAGGGAGCGUAGGUGGAUUGUUAAGUCAGUUGUGAAAGUUUGCGGCUCAACCGUAAAAUUGCAGUUGAAACUGGCAGUCUUGAGUACAGUAGAGGUGGGCGGAAUUCGUGGUGUAGCGGUGAAAUGCUUAGAUAUCACGAAGAACUCCGAUUGCGAAGGCAGUUCACUGGACUGCAACUGAUACUGAGGCUCGAAAGUGUGGGUAUCAAACAGGAUUAGAUACCCUUGUAGUC
rnacentral:rRNA from 1 species